UAAGCGGAGGAAAAGAAACUAACAAGGAUCCCCUCAGUAAGGGCGACUGAAGCGGGGAAAGUGCAAGUUGUCAAUCUCUUCGGAGAAUUGUAGUCUAUCGAAACAACAUCCGGUGUCGCAGCAGGUAUAAGUCCAUUGGAACAUGGCAUCAGAGAGGGUGAGAAUCCCGUUCGUGAUCUGCUGCGUGCCGUCCAUGAUGUGUUCUCUACGAGUCGGGU
rnacentral:rRNA from 1 species